rnacentral:rRNA from 1 species
CUCCUGGAAACGGGUGGUAAUGCCGGAUGUUCCACAUGAGCGCAUGCGAGUGUGGGAAAGGCUUUUUGCGGCAUGGGAUGGGGUCGCGUCCUAUCAGCUUGUUGGUGGGGUAACGGCCUACCAAGGCGUUGACGGGUAGCCGGCCUGAGAGGGCGACCGGCCACAUUGGGACUGAGAUACAGCCCAGACUCCUACGGGAGGCAGCAGUGGGGAAUAUUGCACAAUGGGCGCAAGCCUGAUGCAGCGACGCCGCGUGCGGGAUGGAGGCCUUCGGGUUGUAAACCGCUUUUGUUCAAGGGCAAGGCACGGUUUCGGCCGUGUUGAGUGGAUUGUUCGAAUAAGCACCGGCUAACUACGUGCCAGCAGCCGCGGUAAUACGUAGGGUGCAAGCGUUAUCCGGAUUUAUUGGGCGUAAAGGGCUCGUAGGCGGUUCGUCGCGUCCGGUGUGAAAGUCCAUCGCUUAACGGUGGAUCCGCGCCGGGUACGGGCGGGCUUGAGUGCGGUAGGGGAGACUGGAAUUCCCGGUGUAACGGUGGAAUGUGUAGAUAUCGGGAAGAACACC